ensembl:lncRNA
AUGAAGCUGAUCCCUUUGGGUGCAACGGAGCGUCGGUGGUCAAGUAUGUCGCAGCAUGGCCCAACAAAGGCGCUCUCCGGGAGAUGGUGGCUAGACAUUUUGAGAGGAAAAAGUGGGAGACAAGUUAUGAGGAGGGGAGGAAAGCAUACUGUGUUUGGUAUAUUGUUUGUGUUAAGUUUUGUUUCCUUUUUGAACGGGGUACGUGCCAAUUGGAUAAAAAGACAUGCCAAUUAUAUGUUUGAGCAGCACGGGAAAGAGGUAGCAUUAAUAUAUGAACACCCCCUCACCAUAGGAGAUUUUUCAUUUCUUCCCGAUUUAAUUGAUGAACCACAGAUUAUGUUGGAGGGAUUGUCCAAGGCUCAGGAGGGUCCACCUACCGUGUUUUCUAGCAUACCGCAAGAAAUAAAUCAAACUCGGUUUCGACGGCUUAGAUACCAUACCUCCACCAGGGGUUUGUGCUUCUGUUGUGGAGGAUCGGGAAUAUGGAAUUCUGAGUGGAGACACUGGGGAACUAGGCAGGCGUUCUUUUCCCGAUUAGGCAAUUACUCCCAUUGUCGAGACCGGUUCUAUCUACAUGGACGAUUUAAUACAUCUUAUGUCUCACGAUUAAAUCUAACCGCAACCGAGUGGGCUAGCAUGUAUCCAGAUUAUCCCACAUUUAGUGUGAAUGAUUCUAUUGAGGGCCUAAAAUCUUAUAUGAACAUACUGCAACAAUUAACCCAACUGAGCCUAGGUCAAAGCCUCUGUCCGUUAUGGCAAAUUAGGGAUCCAAAUCUAUGGUUUUCCUUUGAUAAAUGGGCCACAAAUUAUCACCCCGGCAACUACCAGUGUGUCGGUGUGGGUUAUUUGACAUUCCCAGUCCGGGUCUUACACAAAAGGCAUCAGCGCCUGAAACGGGACAUUGUGCAAACAGGCCCUCUAGGACCAGAAUGUUCGGAUGAGGUCAUUAUUAACAAGGCCCUGUCAGGUUCAGAAGCCUCCCGUGUAGGAGGAGGCCUGAUCACAGGCUUGUUGACCCUGGGUGCCUACCCAGGGAUUGUAGCUCAAGCAAAUCGUAGAAGUGUUCUAGGCCUGACUUGCCGUCUUGAAAAGUCCAUAAAUGCCACUGGUAAAAUUUUCCGGGAAAUCCAGUCUGAAGUAGAAGAAAUCAGCCAGAUGGCCCUACAGCAUAAGCUGGCCCUUGACUACCUACUGGCGGCCAGGGGGGGUUUAUGCGCCAUGGUUAGAGGGCGUUGUGUAGUGAAAUUUCAUAACUUGAAUAGUACUAUUGAAGAUGACAUCGAGUCAUUGCAAAAGUUAAUUUACAAUAAUGUCCAGGAGGUAGAAGGUUGGUCUCCCUUCUCCUGGGUGACUAGCUGGUUACCUUCAGUAGAAUGGUUGAAGGACAUAUUGUUGGUAGGGAUUUUAGGAUUGUUCAUUGUUCUCAUAGUUAUGCGCUGCACUCCAAUAAUGAUGCAAAUGUGUACUAGGUGUGUCACACAAUCAUUACCUGGAGAAAAGAUAGCCAUACUCCAAACCAAGUGGGAUUGGAUGGAACCAUAA